rnacentral:rRNA from 1 species
UACGAAGGGGGCUAGCGUUGCUCGGAAUCACUGGGCGUAAAGGGUGCGUAGGCGGGUCUUUAAGUCAGGGGUGAAAUCCUGGAGCUCAACUCCAGAACUGCCUUUGAUACUGAAGAUCUUGAGUCCGGGAGAGGUGAGUGGAACUGCGAGUGUAGAGGUGAAAUUCGUAGAUAUUCGCAAGAACACCAGCGGCGAAGGCGGCUCACUGGCCCGGUACUGACGCUGAGGCACGAAAGCGUGGGGAGCAAACAGG